rnacentral:rRNA from 1 species
UACAUAGGUGGCAAGCGUUGUUCGGAAUUAUUGGGCGUAAAGCGCGCGCAGGCGGUCCUUUAAGUCUGAUGUGAAAGCCCACGGCUCAACCGUGGAGGGUCAUUGGAAACUGGGGGACUUGAGUACAGAAGAGAAGAGUGGAAUUCCACGUGUAGCGGUGAAAUGCGUAGAGAUGUGGAGGAACACCAGUGGCGAAGGCGACUCUUUGGUCUGUAACUGACGCUGAGGCGCGAAAGCGUGGGGAGCAAACAGG